AUUGAACGCUGGCGGCAUGCCUUACACAUGCAAGUCGAACGGCAGCGGACCUUCGGGUGCCGGCGAGUGGCGAACGGGUUGAGUAAAGUAUCGGAACGUACCUUUCAUGGGGGAUAACUGUCCGAAAGGACAGCUAAUACCGCAUAUUCUGUGAGCAGAAAAGCAGGGGAUCGCAAGACCUUGCGCUGAUUGAGCGGCCGAUAUCAGAUUAGCUAGUUGGUGAGGUAAAGGCUCACCGAGGCGACGAUCCGUAGCGGGGUCUGAGAGGAGACCCGCCACACUGGAACUGAGACACGGUCCAGACUCCUACGGGAGGCAGCAUGGGGAAUUUUGGACAAUGGGCGCAAGCCUGAUCCAGCAAUGCCGCGUGAGUGAAGAAGGCCUUCGGGUUGUAAAGCUCUUUCAGUUGAAAGAAAAAGCCGUGACUAAUAAUCAUGGUUCAUGACGGUAUCAACAGAAGAAGCACCGGCUAACUACGUG
rnacentral:rRNA from 1 species